UACGAAGGUGGCUAGCGUUGUUCGGAAUUACUGGGCGUCAAGCGCGCGCAGGCGGUUUUGUAAGACAGAUGUGCAAUCCCCGGGCUUAACCUGGGAACUGCAUUUGUGACUGCAAGACUAGAGUGCGGCAGAGGGGGGUAGAAUUCCACGUGUAGCAGUGAAAUGCGUAGAUAUGUGGAGGAAUACCGAUGGCGAAGGCAGCCCCCUGGGUCGACACUGACGCUCAUGCACGAAAGCGUGGGGAGCAAACAGG
rnacentral:rRNA from 1 species